rnacentral:lncRNA from 1 species
UUAAAAACAUUUUCUUUAAUCACUCCUUAAGCCCACUUCCAAUCCAGUUUAAACCCAAUAACAAAUUCAGCUCACAACCCAACUCAUCCAAGUCCUCCAUACGACACCGUUUUCUUCUUCAGUCACCCCUUCGACUCUCAGACUGGAGAUAUUAGUUCAAAAGAAAGCUAUUCACUCUCAAACAAAAUAACUAACAAACAAACAAACAAAAACCCCUUACUCUGAUCUUCCUUACAAAAAAUCCUAUUUAGAAACCUAAGAAUCAAACACCAAUCAACGAAGAAGAAUCGUACGAUUGAUCUUCUCUGAUCGAAUUAACCAACCAAUAAAUUGGACAGAGUUUUUCGUUGCGAGCUCGCAUGACCAUCCUGCCUUGGCUCUGCUCCUGCCUGCGCACGGCUAUA